UACAGAGGUCUCAAGCGUUGUUCGGAUUUAUUGGGCGUAAAGAGCGUGUAGGCGGCCAUGUAGGUCCGUUGUGAAAACUCGAGGCUCAACCUCGAGACGCCGAUGGAAACCAUGUGGCUAGAGUCCGGAAGAGGAGAGUGGAAUUCCUGGUGUAGCGGUGAAAUGCGCAGAUAUCAGGAAGAACACCCGUGGCUAAGGCGGCUCUCUAGUACGGUACUGACGCUGAGACGCGAAAGCUAGGGGAGCAAACGGG
rnacentral:rRNA from 1 species